rnacentral:rRNA from 1 species
GACGAACGCUGGCGGCGUGCUUAACACAUGCAAGUCGAACGGAAAGGCCUCUUUCGGGGGGUACUCGCGUGGCGCACGGGUGAGUAACACGUGAGUAACCUGCCCUUGACUUUGGGAUAUAUUCAGGAAACUGGGGCUAAUACCGGGUAGGAGCUCCUGCGCCACGGUGGGGGUUGGAGAGUUUCGGCGGGGGGGGAUGGACUCGCGGCUUAUCAGCGUGUUUGGGGGGGGGUGGCUUACCAAGGGUUUGACGGGUAGCCGGCCCGGGAGGGUGACCGGCCACAAUGGGACUGGGGUACGGGCCAGAAGCCGACGGGAGGCAGCAGGGGGGAAUAUUGCACAAUUGGUGGGAGCCUGAUGCAGCAACGCCGUGUGGGGGAUGACGGGCUUUGGGUUGGAAACCGCUUUCGGCCAUGACGAAGCUGUGUGUGACGGUAGUGGGUAAAGAAGCACCGGCUAACUACGUG